rnacentral:rRNA from 1 species
UACGUAGGGUGCUAGCGUUGUCCGGAAUUACUGGGUGUAAAGGGAGCGUAGGUGGGUGAGCAAGUCAUUGGUGAAAUUCUGAGGCUUAACCUCAGACCUGCCAAUGAUACUGUUCAUCUUGAGUACAGAAGAGGAAGAUGGAAUUCCUGGUGUAGCGGUGAAAUGCGUAGAUAUCAGGAAGAACACCGGUGGCGAAGGCGGUCUUCUGGUCUGUUACUGACACUGAUGCUCGAAAGCGUGGGGAGCAAACAGG